GUCCACGCCCUAAACGAUGUCGACUGGUUGUUGGGGGUUUGACACUCUCAGUAACGAAGCUAACGCGUGAAGUCGACCGCCUGGGGGAGUACGGCCGCAAGGUUAAAAACUCAAAGGAAUUGACGGGGACCCGCACAAGCGGUGGAUUAUGUGGAUUAAUUCGAUGCAACGCGAAAAACCUUACCUACCCUUGACAUGUCCGAGAGGCUGGAGAGAUCCAGCUGUGCCCGAAAGGGAAUCGGAACACAGGUGCUGCAUGGCUGUCGU
rnacentral:rRNA from 1 species